CCUGCCAGGACCACUGUGGGCUUAGGCCCGUCAUGGGCUGGUCUGCCAGGACCGACAUGCCCGAAAUCGCAAGGCCCGCUAAGAUCGGCCCACCAGGUCCGGCAAAGAUACACCCCUAAUUUCAAGUAGUGGUGAAAAAGAGUGUGAAUGAAAGGAAUUGGGGGAUCCAGCUUCUUUUGCAGUCUUGAUUUAUUUUUAAUUGUCAAAUCUGUAAAUAAAAAGUACCCUAACUAACAUUCACAGCCCAUUCCAAACUCAGACCAGAGACGAAUUCAACCCAAAUUACAACUAAUGUGUUUUGUCUCCUCUCUCCUUAGUCGACAGCAAGUCGCCGUUGCAGCUGUCGCCAUUUCUGUUGCCACCAUUACCAUCCUUGUACCUCUCUCCUUAGUCGACAGCAAGUCGCUGUUGCAGCUGUCGCCGUUUCUGUUGCCACCAUUACCAUCCUUGUAUAGAGGUAUUUAACUCUCCUCUUAGCUCUUAUAUGUUAUUGAAUUAUUACUAAUUUAUUUGAAUCUGAAUUACUACUAAGUUAUUUGAAUCAGC
rnacentral:lncRNA from 1 species